rnacentral:rRNA from 1 species
GACGAACGCUGGCGGCGUGCCUAACACAUGCAAGUCGAACGGAAAGGCCCUGCUUUUGUGGGGUGCUCGAGUGGCGAACGGGUGAGUAACACGUGAGUAACCUGCACUUGACUUUGGGAUAACUUCAGGAAACUGGGGCUAAUACCGGAUAGGAGCUCCUGAUGCACGGUGGGGGAUGGAAAGUUUCGGCGGUUGGGGAUGGACUAGCGGCUUAUCAGCUUGUUGGUGAGGUAGUGACUUACCAAGGCUUUGACGGGUAGGCGGCCUGAGAAGGUGACCGGCCUCCAUGGUACUGAGGGACGGCGCAGACUGCUACGGGAGGCAACAGGGGGAAGUAUUACGCAAUAGCCGGAAGCCUGUGACAGCAGCGCCGCGUGCGUGAUGACGGCCUUCUGGUGGUAAACCGCUUUCGCCUGUAACGAAGCGUGAGUGACGGUAAUUAAUAAAGAAGCACCGGCUAACUACGUG